rnacentral:lncRNA from 1 species
UCCACAUACUAAUUAUCAGUGGACAUUUCCUGCCCCCGCAUCUCCGUCAGCUCAUUCUAGGCCCAAACUACCAGGCCCAUCUCUAAUAAGGAAUAGUUAAAGCAGCGCAAACAGAUGCAUCUAUCGUCUCCUUAGGAAGCGUCAGCAUGGCAAUAACGGGCAGUUAGACUCCGGACAGCUGCUGCCAAGAGACACAACUUGGAAUUCACAUCACAUUGAGUUUCCACCAUAUCACAGGAGGAUCCUAGGGGAUAUUCUGCAAAUAAAUGGCAACCUUUGGAUCUGCUCUGCUAAUAAGACCUCGUGAUGCUUUAUCCCCUUUAAUGGCACAGUUCUGUUUUGGUUUCUUCUGUUGGGUGUGCUUUUGAGUGGUACAGUGGGGUCUUGACUUGAGAACUUAAUCCGUAUUGGAAGGCGGUUCUCAAGUCAAAAAGUUCUCAGGUCAAAUCUGCAUUUCCCAUAGGAAUGCAUUGAAAAUCAUUUGAUCCGUAUCUGCUCUUUUCCGUCCAUAGAAACUAAUGGGAAGCUGCUAUUCUGCCUUCGACCACUAGAGGGGGAUAUUUUGUUUCUUUUUUUCCUUUAAUGGCACAGUUCUGUUUUGGUUUCUUCUGUUGGGUCUACUUUUGAGUGGUAGAUGCUAUGCUGCAUGUGAAUGGCUGUAGUACUGUCAUGCUUUGGUGACUGCUUGGUGGAAGAAGGGUAAUUGAGCAUUGGUAAA